UGGGGAAUAUUGCACAAUGGGCGCAAGCCUGAUGCAGCCAUGCCGCGUGUAUGAAGAAGGCCUUCGGGUUGUAAAGUACUUUCAGUCGGGAGGAAGGUGGUAAGGUUAAUAACCUUAUCAAUUGACGUUACCGACAGAAGAAGCACCGGCUAACUCCGUGCCAGCAGCCGCGGUAAUACGGAGGGUGCAAGCGUUAAUCGGAAUUACUGUGCGUAAAGCGCACGCAGGCGGUUGAUUGAGUCAGAUGUGAAAUCCCCGGGCUUAACCCGGGAAUUGCAUCUGAUACUGGUCAGCUAGAGUCUUGUAGAGGGGGGUAGAAUGCCAUGUGUAGCGGUGAAAUGCGUAGAGAUGUGGAGGAAUACCGGUGGCGAAGGCGGACCACUGGACAAAGACUGAAGCUCAGGUGCGAAAGCGUGGGGAGCAAACAGG
rnacentral:rRNA from 1 species